rnacentral:rRNA from 1 species
CACGACUUCGUCGCCGGGGCGGCGGUAUGACGUGGUGGUGUAGCGGUGUCCGGAAUGAUUGGGCGUCAAGCGCGGGUAGGCGGUCCGGUAAGUCCGCUGUGAAAGUCGGUGGCUCAACCCUCGGAUGCCGGUUGAUACUGUCGGGCUUGAGUACGGAAGAGGCGAGUGGAAUUCCUGGUGUAGCGGUGAAAUGCGCAGAUAUCAGGAGGAACACCAAUUGCGAAGGCAGCUCGCUGGGACGUUACUGACGCUGAGACGCGAAAGCGUGGGGAGCAAACAGGAUUAGAUACCCCGGUAGUC